rnacentral:rRNA from 1 species
AGCUCCAAUAGCGUAUAUUAAAGUUGUUGCGGUUAAAAAGCUCGUAGUUGGAUUUCUGUUGAGGACGGCCGGUCCGCACUAUGUGCGUGUAUCUGGUUCGGCCUCGGCAUCCUCUUGAGGAACGUUUCUGCGCUUGAUUGCGUGGAGCGGUAUUCAAGACUUUUACUUGAGGAAAUUAGAGUGUUCACGGCAGGCAAGCGCCUUGAAUACAUUAGCAUGGAAUAAUAAUAUAGGACCUCGGUUCUAUUUUGUUGGUUUGCACGCCGAAGUAAUGAUUAAUAGGAGCAGUUGGGGAUGUCCGUAUUCGAUUGUCAGAGGUGAAAUUCUUGGAUUUAUUGAAGACGAACUACUGCGAAAGCAUUCAUCAAGGAUGUUUUCAUUAAUCAAGAACG